GCCUUCGUGGUGUAACGGUUAGCACACUCGGCCCGUAUUCGAGAGGCCCAGGUUCGGGUCUAGGAGAGGGCA
rnacentral:tRNA from 1 species